GACGAACGCUGGCGGCGUGCCUAAUACAUGCAAGUCGAACGCAGUGGGGACGGGUGAGUAACACGUGGGUAACCUCCCAUCAGAGGGGAUAACACUUGGAAACAGGUGCUAAACCGAUACUGAUGGAUGGACCCGCGGUGCAUAAGCUAGUGGGUGAGGUAACGGCUUCCCAAGGCCACGAUGCAUAGCGGACCUGAGUGGUGGACCGGCCACACUGUGAUGGAGACACGGCCCAGACGCCGACGGGAGGCAGCAGUAGGGAAGCUUCGGCAAUGGACGAAAGUCGUACCGAGCAACGCCGCGUGAGUGAAGAAGGUUUUCGGAUCGUAAAACUCUGUUGUUAGAGAAGCGGUAUCUAACCAGAAAGCCACGGCUAACUACGUGCCAGCAGCCGCGGUAAUUC
rnacentral:rRNA from 1 species